AGCGAACGCUGGCGGCAGGCCUAACACAUGCAAGUCGAACGCCCCUUCGGGGGAGUGGCGGACGGGUGAGUAACACGUGGGAACGUACCUUUUGGUUCGGAACAACUGAGGGAAACUUCAGCUAAUACCGGAUAAGCCCUUUUGGGGAAAGAUUUAUCGCCGAAAGAUCGGCCCGCGUUGGAUUAGGUAGUUGGUGGGGUAAAGGCCUACCAAGCCUACGAUCCAUAGCUGGUCUGAGAGGAUGAUCAGCCACACUGGGACUGAGACACGGCCCAGACUCCUACGGGAGGCAGCAGUGGGGAAUCUUGCGCAAUGGUCGAAAGACUGACGCAGCCAUGCCGCGUGACUGAUGAAGGUCUUAGGAUUGUAAAAUUCUUUUACCGGUGACGAUAAUGACGGUAACCGGAGAAAAAGCCCCGGCUAACUUCGUGCCAGCCGCCGCGGUAA
rnacentral:rRNA from 1 species